GACGAACGCUGGCGGCGUGCCUAAUACAUGCAAGUUGAGCGCUGAAGGUUGGUACUUGUACCGACUGGAUGAGCAGCGAACGGGUGAGUAACGCGUGGGGAAUCUGCCUUUGAGCGGGGGACAACAUUUGGAAACGAAUGCUAAUACCGCAUAAAAACUUUAAACACAAGUUUUAAGUUUGAAAGAUGCAAUUGCAUCACUCAAAGAUGAUCCCGCGUUGUAUUAGCUAGUUGGUGAGGUAAAGGCUCACCAAGGCGAUGAUACAUAGCCGACCUGAGAGGGUGAUCGGCCACAUUGGGACUGAGACACGGCCCAAACUCCUACGGGAGGCAGCAGUAGGGAAUCUUCGGCAAUGGACGAAGGUCUGACCGAGCAACGCCGCGGGAGUGAAGAAGGGUUUCGGAUCGUAAAACUCGGUUGGUAGAGAAGAACGUUGGUGAGAGUGGAAAGCUCAUCAAGUGACGGUAACUACCCAGAAAGGGACGGCUAACUACGUG
rnacentral:rRNA from 1 species